rnacentral:rRNA from 1 species
ACUCCUACGGGAGGCAGCAGUGGGGAAUAUUGCACAAUGGAGGAAACUCUGAUGCAGCAACGCCGCGUGGAGGAUGACACUUUUCGGAGCGUAAACUCCUUUUAUAUAGGAAGAUAAUGACGGUACUAUAUGAAUAAGCACCGGCUAACUCCGUGCCAGCAGCCGCGGUAAUACGGAGGUGCAAGCGUUACUCGGAAUCACUGGGCGUAAAGAGCGUGUAGGCGGGUUAUUAAGUCAGAAGUGAAAUCCUAUGGCUCAACCAUAGAACUGCUUUUGAAACUGGUAACCUAGAGUAUGGGAGAGGUAGAUGGAAUUUCUGGUGUAGGGUAAAAUCCGUAGAGAUCAGAAGGAAUACCGAUUGCGAAAGGCGAUCUACUGGAACAUUACUGACGCUGAGACGCGAAAGCGUGGGGAGCAAAACAGGAUUAGAUACCCUGGUAGGCGUAG